AGCGAACGCUGGCGGCAGGCUUAACACAUGCAAGUCGAACGGGCGUAGCAAUACGUCAGUGGCAGACGGGUGAGUAACACGUGGGAAUAUCCCUCUCAGUUCGGAAUAACUCAGGGAAACUUGAGCUAAUACCGGAUACGUCCUUCGGGAGAAAGAUUUAUCGCUGAGAGAUUAGCCCGCGUCUGAUUAGCUAGUUGGUGGGGUAAUGGCUCACCAAGGCGACGAUCAGUAGCUGGUCUGAGAGGAUGAUCAGCCACACUGGGACUGAGACACGGCCCAGACUCCUACGGGAGGCAGCAGUGGGGAAUAUUGGACAAUGGGGGCAACCCUGAUCCAGCCAUGCCGCGUGAGUGAUGAAGGCCUUAGGGUUGUAAAGCUCUUUUGCCAGGGAAGAUAAUGACUGUACCUGGAGAAUAAGCCCCGGCUAACUUCGUGCCAGCCGCCGCCGUAA
rnacentral:rRNA from 1 species